rnacentral:rRNA from 1 species
GACGAACGCUGGCGGUGUGCUUAACACAUGCAAGUCGAACGGAAAGGCCCUGCUUUUGUGGGGUGCUCGAGUGGCGAACGGGUGAGUAACACGUGAGUAACCUGCCCUUGACUUUGGGAUAACUUCAGGAAACUGGGGCUAAUACCGGAUAGGAGCUCCUGCUGCAUGGUGGGGGUUGGAAAGUUUCGGCGGUUGGGGAUGGACUCGCGGCUUAUCAGCUUGUUGGUGGGGUAGUGGCUUACCAAGGCUUUGACGGGUAGCCGGCCUGGGAGGGUGACCGGCCACAUUGGGACUGAGAUACGGCCCAGACUCCUACGGGAGGCAGCAGUGGGGAAUAUUGCACAAUGGGCGGAAGCCUGAUGCAGCAACGCCGCGUGCGGGAUGACGGCCUUCGGGUUGUAAACCGCUUUCGCCUGUGACGAAGCGUGAGUGACGGUAAUGGGUAAAGAAGCACCGGCUAACUACGUG